rnacentral:rRNA from 1 species
GUCUACGGCCACGCCACCCUGAACAAGCCCGAUCCCAGAAGCUAAGCAGGGUCAGGCCUGGUUAGUACUUGAAUGAGAGACCACCUAGGAAGACUGGAUGCUGUAGGCG